rnacentral:lncRNA from 1 species
ACCUUCCGCCACGAUUCUCAGGCCUCCCCAGCCAUGUGGAACUCUCUGCCCUCAUCAUGAGACCAUGCCCAGGCUAGUCUGCUGGAAGGAAGUCAGAGGCACACGGAAGAGAGCCACAUUCAGCCAAGGCCAUUCUAGACCAGUUGUUCCCUGUCACUUCACUAAUUGGCCACAGCACAAGGUUUUGUUGAAGAUUGAAUGAGUGUGUAAAGUGCCCAACAGAAAGUCUGGCACAUGGUACACGGAUGGAGCUGGAAGCCAUUAUCCUCAGCAAACUAAUGUAGGAACAGAAAACCAAAUAUUGCAUGUUCUUACUUAUAAGUGGGAGCUGAACAACGAGAACACAUGGACACAGGGAGGGAAACAACACACACUGGGGCCUGUCCAGCAGUAAGGUUGAGGCAGGGAAAGCAUUAGGAAAAAUAGCUAUGCAUGCUGGGCUGAAUACUGGGUGAUGGAUUGAUAGGUGCAGCAAACCACCAUGGCAUAUGUUUACCUUUGUAAGAAACCAGCACAUCCUGCACAUGUACCCUGGAACUUAAAAUAAAAAUUAAAAUG